rnacentral:rRNA from 1 species
UUUUUCAUUGGAGAGUUUGAUCCUGGCUCAGGACGAACGCUGGCGGCGUGCUUAACACAUGCAAGUCGAACGGAAAGGCCCUGCUUUUGUGGGGUGCUCGAGUGGCGAACGGGUGAGUAACACGUGAGUAACCUGCCCUUGACUUUGGGAUAACUUCAGGAAACUGGGGCUAAUACCGGAUAGGAGCUCCUGCUGCAUGGUGGGGGUUGGAAAGUUUCGGCGGUUGGGGAUGGACUCGCGGCUUAUCAGCUUGUUGGUGGGGUAGUGGCUUACCAAGGCUUUGACGGGUAGCCGGCCUGAGAGGGUGACCGGCCACAUUGGGACUGAGAUACGGCCCAGACUCCUACGGGAGGCAGCAGUGGGGAAUAUUGCACAAUGGGCGGAAGCCUGAUGCAGCAACGCCGCGUGCGGGAUGACGGCCUUCGGGUUGUAAACCGCUUUCGCCUGUGACGAAGCGUGAGUGACGGUAAUGGGUAAAGAAGCACCGGCUAACUACGUGCCAGCAGCCGCGGUGAUACGUAGGGUGCGAGCGUUGUCCGGAUUUAUUGGGCGUAAAGGGCUCGUAGGUGGUUGAUCGCGUCGGAAGUGUAAUCUUGGGGCUUAACCCUGAGCGUGCUUUCGAUACGGGUUGACUUGAGGAAGGUAGGGGAGAAUGGAAUUCCUGGUGGAGCGGUGGAAUGCGCAGAUAUCAGGAGGAACACCAGUGGCGAAGGCGGUUCUCUGGGCCUUUCCUGACGCUGAGGAGCGAAAGCGUGGGGAGCGAACAGGCUUAGAUACCCUGGUAGUCCACGCUGUAAACGGUGGGUACUAGGUGUGGGGUCCAUUCCACGGGUUCCGUGCCGUAGCUAACGCUUUAAGUACCCCGCCUGGGGAGUACGGCCGCAAGGCUAAAACUCAAAGGAAUUGACGGGGCCCCGCACAAGCGGCGGAGCAUGCGGAUUAAUUCGAUGCAACGCGUAGAACCUUACCUGGGUUUGACAUGGAUCGGGAGUGCUCAGAGAUGGGUGUGCCUCUUUUGGGGUCGGUUCACAGGUGGUGCAUGGCUGUCGUCAGCUCGUGUCGUGAGAUGUUGGGUUAAGUCCCGCAACGAGCGCAACCCUUGUUCACUGUUGCCAGCACGUUAUGGUGGGGACUCAGUGGAGACCGCCGGGGUCAACUCGGAGGAAGGUGGGGAUGACGUCAAGUCAUCAUGCCCCUUAUGUCCAGGGCUUCACGCAUGCUACAAUGGCUGGUAC